CACACAAAACCAUCGUUGGGCGUACGAAAGGAUAUAUCCCAUGGGCUGUAAAGAACGUCAAAAUUCAUGGUUAGCUCCCGAUGUCAUAAAUUGGCAUUGGACGUUAGUUACAGAAAACGGUAAAUUUUGAUAUCUCCUGAGACCGUUUUUAUUGGGUUUGGAGUUUCCUACCAACUCUCUAAGCAUUAAAUAAUGUGUCGAGAGUUCUCUCCAAACUUGCAGGCAAUUUAAAUAGCGCAUCCGGAGAUCUCUAUUAACUCAUGAUGUUUUUCAUACGAUGUCGGGAGAUAGCCUUUUAAAAAACCCACAACACAUAUCUGAAACUUCAUCUCCCACAUCUUCGAACUUCUAAGGCUCCCUCUCCAUCUCUGCCUGCCAUCCGUCUUUCUCUCUCUCGUCAUCAUGUGCCCCAACACCGCCGUGCGCCUCUCCCUCCACCAGCCACGAUUAAUUUAUCUUAACUCUCUCCUAGAGGCUACAAGGAUUAGGGAGAAAUAUCGUGAUAGAAUUCUGGUAAUAAUUUAAUGUUUCUUUAGUUAAUUGCUUUUCUUUUUCCUUUUAUAUUUAAUGUUUUUUGAACCGUAUUGGGAAUUUAUUUGUUAUGGAAAAUGUAUCUAUUCUUCUUGAACAAUAUGCAAUCAAAUGCGGUAAGAAAAACCAGCUUUUUGGAAAAUAUGUUCAUGAAAUAUUCAUAUAUAUAUAAAUGUUCAUGCCGCACUUUGUUACAA